rnacentral:rRNA from 1 species
GUGUCAGCCGCCGCGGUAAUACGUAGGGUGCGAGCGUUAAUCGGAAUUACUGGGCGUAAAGCGUGCGCAGGCGGUUUUGUGAGACCGAUGUGAAAUCCCCGGGCUCAACCUGGGAAUGGCAUUGGUGACUGCAAGGCUGGAGUGCGGCAGAGGGGGAUGGAAUUCCGCGUGUAGCAGUGAAAUGCGUAGAUAUGCGGAGGAACACCGAUGGCGAAGGCAAUCCCCUGGGCCUGCACUGACGCUCAUGCACGAAAGCGUGGGGAGCAAACAGGAUUAGAUACCCUGGUAGUCCACGCCCUAAACGAUGUCAACUGGUUGUUGGGUCUUUGCUGACUCAGUAACGAAGCUAACGCGUGAAGUUGACCGCCUGGGGAGUACGGCCGCAAGGUUGAAACUUAAAUAAAUUGGCGG